ensembl:lncRNA
UAAAGAGUCAUCAGUUCAGAGACUGUGACAGUCGAGAUUGAGAACAAGAAAGAAGUGAGACAGAGAAGCACGAUGGAUGAAUUCAGAUGGAUUCAAAUGUUUGUGUGUCUGAUGCUGAUGAUUCAGAUUCCAGUAUCCGUAACUGUUACCUCCAUUUUUAUGAAAGUUGGAGAUGACGUCACUCUGCCUUGUCUAAAUGUGGUAAAUGAAAAGAAUAACUGCGAUGGUACUACGUGGACCUUUGCUUCAAGAAACAAACAAACAGCAGAGCUGAUCACACUUGGACAGAUUGGUGAAAAUCCCAAAACUAAAUCAGACAGACUGAGUGCUACAGCGAACUGUUCUCUGCUUAUAAAGAAGCUCACAAUCGAGGAAGUUGGUCAAUAUUCCUGUGAUCAUCACAAAUUACGAGAAAUACAAACACAACACACUCUGUUUCAUCAGUCAACGGUUGAUCUCUCUGCUAUUACCUUGACUGAACAUAAGGAAACUGAUAAGGUGAAGUUAAGCUGCUCUGUGGUGACACAUGGAGAGUGUCAUCACACAGUGAAGUGGCUGAUUGGAGGUCGAGAUGUGGACAAAGAGAGCAAACAAACAGUGACUUCACAGACUGACUGCUCCACCACUCUGUCUUUUCUGAUUUAUCACCAUAUUUACAACUCAAGAUAUAACACUGUGAAGUGUGAAGUGACUGAUACCAAAACAGGGAAAGUGCAACUGUUCACCCUUAGCCAUCAGCCCUCAGGUGAGGAAACAGGUGACAAUGAAACCACACAGAAACCAACAAGAACAACUGAAAGCAGCACAAAAUCACAAACAACCACAACAAUGAUGAAAGAUGCUUCACAAGAUUUUUCUGCAUCCUUGAGAUUCAUUAUUGUUUCUGUGGGUUUAGCAGCACUUUUAAUAACUACUGUGACAAUCAACAUAUGGACAAGAACUACUGGGAACAAAACACAGACGAAUAAAACCACAGGACUGAGUUUAAACCCUGCAGGGACUCAGUCUGCUCCUCAAACCGUUCCAGACUUGGUCCGGAGUCAUGAUGGAGUUGAUGUAGUGACGUGCAGCACUGUGAAGGCUCCUUCCUCUUCUGUUACAGCCACUCCUGAUCCCAGCAGUGUGCUCUACUGUACAUUUUCCUGUCACAUAGCUGACUGAAAGGUGGGGAUUUUUCAACAAAAGGUCUUUGUUGUAAAUGAGACAUUGACUCUCAAUGUGACCACUAGUAUAAAUAAAGGUUAAGUUUAAAAAAAAAAGUAUAUAUCAUUAACUAGUCUGUAUAUGUACCUCUUCCCCAGUGUUGAAAAUUUUAAACUCAGAACCUGUUUGCACAUUUCCUGGUUGCUUGAUCAAAAUUUCUGUUAUAAUCAUCAAUAAAUACACCAAAAAUAGUUUAAAUAUAUCUUUUACACUGGUUUUAUGCUGCCAUAUUCUCAAAGUAGUUUAUUGUUUGAUG